rnacentral:rRNA from 1 species
CCGCUUGAAAAUCGGGCGCCCCCGGCGUCUGAAUUGGAGUCUGGAGAAGCGUCCUCAGCGGCGGACCGGGCCCAAGUCCCCUGGAAAGGGGCGCCGGAGAGGGUGAGAGCCCCGUCGCGCCCGGACCCUGUCGCACCACGAGGCGCUGUCGGCGAGUCGGGUUGUUUGGGAAUGCAGCCCCAAGCGGGCGGUAAAUUCCGUCCAAGGCUAAAUACGGGCGAGAGACCGAUAGCGAACAAGUACCGCGAGGUAAAGAUGAAAAGGACUUUGAAAAGAGAGUCAAAGAGUGCUUGAAAUUGU